GUGCUCACUUUAGCAGCACAUAUACUAAAAUUGGAACAAUACAGAAAAGAUUAGCAUGGCCCCUGUGCAAGGAUGACACACAAAUUCAUGAAGUGUUUCAUAUUUUU
ensembl:snRNA U6 U6 spliceosomal RNA